rnacentral:rRNA from 1 species
CAGCAGCCGCGGUAAUACGAAGGGGGCUAGCGUUGUUCGGAAUUACUGGGCGUAAAGCGCACGUAGGCGGAUAUUUAAGUCAGGGGUGAAAUCCCGCAGCUCAACUGCGGAACUGCCUUUGAUACUGGGUAUCUUGAGUAUGGAAGAGGUAAGUGGAAUUGCGAGUGUAGAGGUGAAAUUCGUAGAUAUUCGCAGGAACACCAGUGGCGAAGGCGGCUUACUGGUCCAUAACUGACGCUGAGGUGCGAAAGCGUGGGGAGCAAACAGGAUUAGAUACCCCCGUAGUCCCUGUCUCUUAUAC